rnacentral:rRNA from 1 species
ACUUACGGCCAUACCAUCCUGAAUACGCCCGAUCUUGUCUGAUCUCGGAAGCUAAGCAGGGUCAGGCCUGGUUAGUACUUUGAUGGGAGACUGCCUUGGAAUACCAGGUGCUGGAAGUG